GAGCAGUUGGGUGGGCCAGAGGGAAGCAGGCUGAGUGCCACUGGGACUGCCAGCGCUAUGGCAAGGCACCCCAGGGCUUCCUUAAGGUCCUGGGUGAUGUUUUUUGCUGAGAAUGGACUCACAGGGCUUUGUCUUCAAGCAAAUGCAUCCAUUGUAGCUGGGAGCACAGCCAAGGUGCUGUGGGAAAGCAAAGGAGUUUGAAAUAUGUGGCUUCAGCUACCAUCCAGCCUUUGAGUUCUGGUGCUGUAAUGGAUGCUCAGCACCUGCACCAACUGAGCUGCCAGUGUGGGGCUGAGCAAGGCUGCUUUGGGGGUUGGAGCUCUGAGGCUGAUAUCAUCGUGCUGGAACUAGGCUUUGCGGGGACAUGCUUCUCACUCCCUCUGGCAUCCAGCUCACCCUGUCCACAUGUGGAGCCCAGGCCACGACCUCAGCACUUGGCUGGGCUCUGACAGCCCAUUUAACAGUCAACGGCUGGAAAGGGAGUUGCUGGUGUGCUAUUUUUAGCCAGCUGGACAGUUAAAUAAUUCAGAUGCAGACACACACAGCGGUCUGGGCUGUGCCUGAGAUUUGAGAGGGGAAAAGAGCAGUGGAUCGCCCCUGCUAGGCUUGCUUGACCUUAUCAAGCACAGGUUCCCAGGCUCUUUAACAGCAAUACGAACAAACCCCAAGCCUCCAGGAGUGAAAUCCCUGCCUCACUGAUGUCGGUGGGAUUCCUAGCUGUGACUGUGAUGGAGUUCGAAUCACACCCCAGGGCAAGGUAUGCACUGUUCAGUAUUUCCAUGCUUUCUAAUGCUUCAGAACCCUUUUUUUUCCAUGACAAUAAAACCCAGUUAUGGUGUGACCAGGAGUCCAGAAUGGGGAAUGUCAAAACUUCUGGGGGAAAAUAAGCGUAACUUCUCUUUAGAAACAGGAUGCUCCGUGUAUGGCUACUCCCCUCCAUUUCAGACUAAGAAGGAAGUUGCACAGAAAGACAGUUCAUCCCUUCUUUCCAGCUCAAUCCUCUCCCCAGCUGUCCUGUGGAGUGGUUCACAGCUCAUCGAAAAGCCAUCCAUCUCACACACGGGUGUCUCUGAGAGCACAUAGCCAUGCUCUUCCCACCAAAUAGACUUCAUCUGGAGUACCAGAGGCAAUGCUUCCAGAGAAAGCACGGAGCAGUGGUUUGGUUCUGAAGGAGAGUGAGCAUUUACACCUGGAGUUGUUCUGUAGAGCAACAGAGGUGUCUGUGUUACUGAAGGGCAAACAAAACCAGUGGUCACCUGCUCCAGUUUGGGCAACUGGGCAUUUUCUAGUUUCUGGUCAAUAAACAGUUGGAGCUAUUCA